UUUAUUUUAUUGGGGUGAUAGAAAAAUAAAUAAAACUUUUUUUAAAAUAAAACAUUUAUAAGUGAUUAAAUGAUCCAAUAAUAUUGAUUAUAAGAAAAAAUUACCUUAGGGAUAACAGCGUAAUUUUUUUUUUUAGUUCAAAUAAGAAAAAGAGUUUGCGACCUCGAUGUUGGAUUAAGAUAAAAUUUGAAUGCAGAAGUUUAAAAUUUUGAUCUGUUCGAUCAUUAAAAUCUUACAUGAUCU
rnacentral:rRNA from 1 species